rnacentral:rRNA from 1 species
AUUGAACGCUGGCGGCAGGCUUAACACAUGCAAGUCGAGCGGGGUGAUGGUGCUUGCACUAUCACUUAGCGGCGGACGGGUGAGUAAUGCUUAGGAAUCUGCCUAUUAGUGGGGGACAACAUCUCGAAAGGGAUGCUAAUACCGCAUACGUCCUACGGGAGAAAGCAGGGGAUCACUUGUGACCUUGUGCUAAUAGAUUGGCCUAAGUCGGAUUAGCUAGUUGGUGGGGUAAAGGCCUACCAAGGCGACGAUCGGUAGCGGGGCUGAGAGGGGGAUCCGCCACACUGGGACUGAGACACGGCCCAGACUCCUACGGGAGGCAGCAGUGGGGAAUAUUGGACAAUGGGGGGAACCCUGAUCCAGCCAUACCGCGUGUGUGAAGAAGGCCUUAUGGUUGUAAAGCACUUUAAGCGAGGAGGAGGCUCUUUUGGUUAAUACCCAAGAUGAGUGGACGUUACUCGCAGAAUAAGCACCGGCUAACUCUGUGCCAGCCGCCGCGGUAA